AGGGGACGCUUCUUCCAGGUUUGGGAAAGGGGCGGGGAGCCGAAGCGAUGAGGUCUGCAAAGCUGCCUUGGGUACGGGAGUACCCAGCGCUCGCCUUGGAAGACGACCCGCGCGCUCCUCUCACAGCUAAUUCGGGAUCAUUAAUUUAAUCGGAAAUGAGGUAACCAGUGCAGAAGAUACAGAAAGCAAGCCGAGCAUCAAAUGGCAGCUCUGGUGAAUCCACGCCGAAGAACUUCCUCUGCGCUCAAUUUUUAAGCGCGGUUCUCAAGUGUCCACCACCCCGCCCCCUCCGCGUGUGCCACCGCUGGGUGCUGGCACCCUGGGAAGGACAUCUUAUGUGGAAGGGUGCACCUUGCCAACAGGUGUGGCACCUGGAGGAAGAGAAGGUACAUCCACGCUGAAGGGAGCUCAGUGCGGCGUUCUACCUGCCGCAGAUAAUUCUGGAAGACCAGUAGGUGUCGGGGCAGCAUUUGACCUCUUUCAGGUGCUUUGAACCCAGUGUCUAGAAACAUGGUCUUUCCACGUAAGUUUCUAUCUGAAAGCCACCACUAUUGACUGUAAACUGUAUCUGAGAAACCUUUGGCUGAGUUUACUCAUGACCUAACGGUUAGUCACCAACCGAAGCAGGAUACAGAAUCACCCAAAGAAAUGUGCCUGCUUUGAAACAACUGUAUCGUAGAGCCAACGUGCUCCAGAAAUAAAAAUAAGCCUACUAACAACUAGGAAGGUGUAGAGAGCCCCGGAAAUAAUUUUUUCUCACAUUUUGAAAUACCAUGCACAUAUACGUGGCUAUUUAAAUAAAACUGCUGUUCACUCUUA